GGAGAGAUGGCUGAGUGGACUAAAGCGUCCGCCUCGAAAGCGGAUGUGCCCUUUCGGGCACCGCAGGUUCGAAUCCUGCUCUCUCCGCCA
rnacentral:tRNA from 1 species